UACGUAGGGUGCAAGCGUUGUCCGGAAUUAUUGGGCGUAAAGAGCUCGUAGGCGGUUUGUCGCGUCUGCUGUGAAAACCCGAGGCUCAACCUCGGGCCUGCAGUGGGUACGGACGCAGACUAGAGUGCGGUAGGGGAGAUUGGAAUUCCUGGUGUAGCGGUGGAAUGCGCAGAUAUCAGGAGGAACACCAAUGGCGAAGGCAGAUCUCUGGGCCGUAACUGACGCUGAGGAGCGAAAGCGUGGGGAGCGAACAGG
rnacentral:rRNA from 1 species